GCGGCUACAAUGCAAGUCGAGCGGUAGCACAGAGAGCUUGCUCUCGGGUGACGAGCGGCGGACGGGUGAGUAAUGUCUGGGAAACUGCCUGAUGGAGGGGGAUAACUACUGGAAACGGUAGCUAAUACCGCAUAACGUCGCAAGACCAAAGUGGGGGACCUUCGGGCCUCAUGCCAUCAGAUGUGCCCAGAUGGGAUUAGCUGGUAGGUGGGGUAACGGCUCACCUAGGCGACGAUCCCUAGCUGGUCUGAGAGGAUGACCAGCCACACUGGAACUGAGACACGGUCCAGACUCCUACGGGAGGCAGCAGUGGGGAAUAUUGCACAAUGGGCGCAAGCCUGAUGCAGCCAUGCCGCGUGUGUGAAGAAGGCCUUCGGGUUGUAAAGCACUUUCAGCGGGGAGGAAGGCGGUGAGGUUAAUAACCUCAUCGAUUGACGUUACCCGCAGAAGAAGCACCGGCUAACUCCGUGCCAGCAGCCGCGGUAAUACGGAGGGUGCAAGCGUUAAUCGGAAUUACUGGGCGUAAAGCGCACGCAGGCGGUCUGUCAAGUCGGAUGUGAAAUCCCCGGGCUCAACCUGGGAACUGCAUUCGAAACUGGCAGGCUAGAGUCUUGUAGAGGGGGGUAGAAUUCCAGGUGUAGCGGUGAAAUGCGUAGAGAUCUGGAGGAAUACCGGUGGCGAAGGCGGCCCCCUGGACAAAGACUGACGCUCAGGUGCGAAAGCGUGGGGAGCAAACAGGAUUAGAUACCCUGGUAGUCCACGCUGUAAACGAUGUCGAUUUGGAGGUUGUGCCCUUGAGGCGUGGCUUCCGGAGCUAACGCGUUAAAUCGACCGCCUGGGGAGUACGGCCGCAAGGUUAAAACUCAAAUGAAUUGACGGGGGCCCGCACAAGCGGUGGAGCAUGUGGUUUAAUUCGAUGCAACGCGAAGAACCUUACCUGGUCUUGACAUCCACAGAACUUUCCAGAGAUGGAUUGGUGCCUUCGGGAACUGUGAGACAGGUGCUGCAUGGCUGUCGUCAGCUCGUGUUGUGAAAUGUUGGGUUAAGUCCCGCAACGAGCGCAACCCUUAUCCUUUGUUGCCAGCGGUUAGGCCGGGAACUCAAAGGAGACUGCCAGUGAUAAACUGGAGGAAGGUGGGGAUGACGUCAAGUCAUCAUGGCCCUUACGACCAGGGCUACACACGUGCUACAAUGGCAUAUACAAAGAGAAGCGACCUCGCGAGAGCAAGCGGACCUCAUAAAGUAUGUCGUAGUCCGGAUUGGAGUCUGCAACUCGACUCCAUGAAGUCGGAAUCGCUAGUAAUCGUAGAUCAGAAUGCUACGGUGAAUACGUUCCCGGGCCUUGUACACACCGCCCGUCACACCAUGGGAGUGGGUUGCAAAAGAAGUAGGUAGCUUAACCUUCGGGAGGGCGCUACCACUUUG
rnacentral:rRNA from 1 species